AUGUCCGGCGGCACGGCACCGCGCGUCAUGGAGGACUUCCUCGGCGUCGUCCAGCUCCUCAGCGACGGCUCCGUCGUCCGCGGCGACAAAGCCGUCCUCCGCACAAACGAGCCGUUACCGGACGUCCCCGGCGUGCAGUGGAAGGACGUCCUGUACCACGCGGCGCACGGCCUUAGCGUCCGCGUGUACAGGCCGGCGCCGUCGGUGGCCGGCGGCAGCAAGCUCCCGGUGGUGGUGUACUUCCACGGCGGGGGCUACUGCCUCGGCUCCUUCGCAGAGCCCAACUUCCACUCGUUCUGCCUUCGCGCCGCAGUCGAGAUCUCGGCCGUCGUGCUGUCCGUGCAGCUUACCGCCUCGCCCCCGAGCACCGCCUCCCCGCGGCCAUCGACGACGGCACGUCUUUCCUUUCCUGGCUGCGCGGCCAGGCCGAGCUUGGCGCCGGCGCCAACCCGUGGCUCGCGGAGUCGACCGACUUCGCCCGGACGUUCCUCUCCGGCCACUCGGCGGGUGCCAACCUGGCCCACCACAUCACGGUCCGGUUCGCGUCGGGGCAGAUCGCCGCCAGCCCGCGUUCUUCGCCGGGGCCAAGCGCACGGCGACGGAGGCUGA
rnacentral:rRNA from 1 species